rnacentral:lncRNA from 1 species
CUGGUUAGAAAAUGGAACUCCAAAAUUUUCUAAUGCUGGUUGUGCCAAACAUUAUUAUAGGGAUGAACUCUGCAUCUUCAUAAAAGUAUUAAUUAAUAUCAAUCUAAAUUUGCAUCUUCAUUAGAAAGGAGAAGGGUGGCAAAGAAAUGGGGAGGAGACAUAUUCGAUCUAAAAGAGUAAAUAUAUAAGGAAUGAUGAUAUAUGAAGAUUUUAUUUACAACUUGCACACGAAAAUCUAAGUCUAAAUAUGACCUCUUAAACUUUUUUAUAGUUGUAUUUUUUUUCAUUAGGCUCAAGACUUUAUAACUUUUGACAGUCUAACUUUAUAAUUUCCAGAGUUAGGGUUUUCAUCAACUUUUUUUUAAACUAGGUGUUUGGCCCGCACAUGCGGGCAUGAUCAUUUUACGAAAAAUAUAAAUUUUAAAACUAUCAUGCUAAAUUAUUUUUUAUAUUUUUAGUUACAAUUUGUUUUUUGUUUUUUUUGGUCAAAUUUUCAUCUUCUUGAACAUCAGUGGAAUCUAAUAACUAUGAGAAAUCACCUAUCAAUCAUCUCACGCAAUGAAGUAAACUAAAAAGAUAAACUUUCUUCUCUUUCAGUUAUUUCUACCACUUCAAACCAGAAACAUGAAAGAAACUAUCAAAAACAAACUAAAAACACAAAACGAAAAUAAAUACAAAAAAAAAUAAAUUAAUUAAA